GGAAUAUUGGGCAAUGGGGGGAACCCUGACCCAGCAACGCCGCGUGAGGGAAGAAGGUUUUCGGAUCGUAAACCUCUGUCCUUGGUGAAGAGAGAGAGACGGUAGCCAAGGAGGAAGCCCCGGCUAACUACGUGCCAGCAGCCGCGGUAAUACGUAGGGGGCGAGCGUUGUCCGGAAUGAUUGGGCGUAAAGGGCGCGUAGGCGGCGAGUUAAGUCUGGAGUGAAAGUCCUGUUUUCAAGAUGGGAAUUGCUUUGGAUACUGAUUUGCUUGAGUGCAGGAGAGGUUAUCGGAAUUCCCGGUGUAGCGGUGAAAUGCGUAGAGAUCGGGAGGAACACCAGUGGCGAAGGCGGGUAACUGGACUGCAACUGACGCUGAGGCGCGAAAGUGUGGGGAGCAAACA
rnacentral:rRNA from 1 species